GAACCCAUUACUAUGAAAGUAUGAAUCAAUGCAUUACAAUUGACCAAACCCAAACUCAAUUUCUUUAGUUAAGAAGGGCCAUUUUAAAAUUUUGGUUAAGCUUAAAUACAUUAGUGUAGUGUAGAUAGCCCAUAAAGGCCUUUAAAUGAAAUGAUGAACAAAACCCAUUAUGUACACGAACGGAGUUCAAAGAGUGUGUAUGCGAUGUCGUGUCGGAGUUCAAAGGAUGACAGCUUUAUGUAGAUCUUCUCUUCCUCUCUCUCUCUCUCUUGAGAAAAAAAGAAGAUAAGCUUUGAAAUCUCAGAAGAGGGUUCGUCUUCAACAUGGAGAUUCAAUUCGAUUUGAUGUGUUUUAAGCAUUUGCCUUGUAAUCGUCCGCGUCUUCUUCCUCGGGCUCGCCUUUGAUAAAAAAAGGACAAAGUUGUUGAAUUGAACACAACCAACUUCGAUUCAGUUCUUAAAGACACUCCAGCAUAGGUAUGAAGGACCCUCACUUGCCAUGUUAUCUUGUAGGGUUUCACAUCUCUGAGAAAUACAAAGGAAGCCGCCAUUGCUAGAUUUAAUGAAUGAAGGAGUUUAUUAAGAAAUGAGGUAAUUGCUUGAUGAUGUAGAAGAUUGACUGAAGAGCGCUAUUUAUAGAGAACUUAGAUGUCUAGGGUUGGUCAAAGUCGAUUUGAGAAAAUUCUUUGGGAGCAAGUAAAUAUCUAAGAUACGGGAAA